GAUGAACGCUGGCGGCGUGCCUAAUACAUGCAAGUCGAGCGAACAGACGAGGAGCUUGCUCCUCUGACGUUAGCGGCGGACGGGUGAGUAACACGUGGAUAACCUACCUAUAAGACUGGGAUAACUUCGGGAAACCGGAGCUAAUACCGGAUAAUAUAUUGAACCGCACGGUUCAAUAGUGAAAGACGGCUUUGCUGUCACUUAUAGAUGGAUCCGCGCCGCAUUAGCUAGUUGGUAAGGUAACGGCUUACCAAGGCAACGAUGCGUAGCCGACCUGAGAGGGUGAUCGGCCACACUGGAACUGUGACCCGGUCCAAACGCCUACGGGAGGCCGCAGUAGGGAAUCUUCCGCAAUGGGCGAAAGCCUGACGGAGCAACGCCGCGUAAGUGGUGAAGGUCUUCGGAUCGGAAAACUCUGUUAUUAGGGAAGAACAAAUAUGUAAGAAACUAUGCACGUCUUGACGGUACCUAAUCAGAAAGCCACGGCUAACUACGUG
rnacentral:rRNA from 1 species